rnacentral:rRNA from 1 species
CGGAUCCUUCGGGAUUAGUGGCAGACGGGUGAGUAACGCGUGGGAAGCUACCUUGUGGUAGGGGACAACAGUUGGAAACGACUGCUAAUACCCUAUGAGCCCUAUGGGGGAAAGAUUUAUCGCCAUGAGAUGUGCCCGCGUUAGAUUAGCUAGUUGGUAAGGUAAUGGCUUACCAAGGCGACGAUCUAUAGCUGGUCUGAGAGGAUGAUCAGCCACACUGGGACUGAGACACGGCCCAGACUCCUACGGGAGGCAGCAGUGGGGAAUAUUGGACAAUGGGGGCAACCCUGAUCCAGCCAUGCCGCGUGUGUGAUGACGGCCUUAGGGUUGUAAAGCACUUUCAGCAGUGAAGAUAAUGACAUUAACUGCAGAAGAAGCCCCGGCUAACUUCGUGCCAGCAGCCGCGGUAAUACGAAGGGGGCUAGCGUUGUUCGGAAUCACUGGGCGUAAAGAGUACGUAGGCGGACUGAUAAGUUAGGGGUGAAAUCCCAAGGCUCAACCUUGGAACUGCCUUUGAUACUGUCAGUCUUGAGAUCGAGAGAGGUGAGUGGAACUCCGAGUGUAGAGGUGAAAUUCGUAGAUAUUCGGAAGAACACCAGUGGCGAAGGCGGCUCACUGGCUCGAUACUGACGCUGAGGUACGAAAGCGUG